rnacentral:rRNA from 1 species
CCCUUUGUACACACCGCCCGUCGCUACUACCGAUUGAAUGGCUCAGUGAGGCUUCCGGACUGGCCCAGGGAGGUCGGCAACGACCACCCAGGGCCGGAAAGCUAUCCAAACUCGGUCAUUUAGAGGAAGUAAAAGUCGUAACAAGGUCUCCGUUGGUGAACCAGCGGAGGGAUCAUU